AUGUGGAACAAGAGGCAAAGGAAAGAAAAGCUUGGUGGUCGAAUCAUCCGGAUUCACGAUGUGCAUCCUGGAACUAUGGAACUUUUCUAUCUUCGGAUAUUGCUCAUAGUGGUCACAGGUACUGCAUUCUUAGAAGAUGUCAGAUGUUAUAAUGGGGUCACUACUGUUGCCUGGUGGACGAACAGACCAUUCUCAGUUCAUAAUUCUGCAAAAUAUGCUAUUCGAUUUGGUGGCAAGGUUGUUGUUCUUGGUGGGGAUUUCAGACAAGUGCUUCCUGUUGUGGAAGGAGGUGCCAAAAAUGAGAUCAUUGGUGCUUCCUCUGAAGCUACUACAUUCUACAACAUUAACGAUUUUCCAAGUUGA
rnacentral:rRNA from 1 species